rnacentral:rRNA from 1 species
AUUGAACGCUGGCGGCAGGCCUAACACAUGCAAGUCGGACGGUAGCACAGAGAGCUUGCUCUUGGGUGACGAGUGGCGGACGGGUGAGUAAUGUCUGGGGAUCUGCCCGAUAGAGGGGGAUAACCACUGGAAACGGUGGCUAAUACCGCAUAACGUCGCAAGACCAAAGAGGGGGACCUUCGGGCCUCUCACUAUCGGAUGAACCCAGAUGGGAUUAGCUAGUAGGCGGGGUAAUGGCCCACCUAGGCGAUGAUCCCUAGCUGGUCUGAGAGGAUGACCAGCCACACUGGAACUGAGACACGGUCCAGACUCCUACGGGAGGCAGCAGUGGGGAAUAUUGCACAAUGGGCGCAAGCCUGAUGCAGCCAUGCCGCGUGUAUGAAGAAGGCCUUCGGGUUGUAAAGUACUUUCAGCGGGGAGGAAGGCGGUGCGGUUAAUAACCGUACCGAUUGACGUUACCCGCAGAAGAAGCACCGGCUAAUUCCGUGCCAGCCGCCGCAGUAA